CCUACGGGAGGCAGCAGUGAGGAAUAUUGGUCAAUGGUCGGGAGACUGAACCAGCCAAGCCGCGUGAGGGAUGAAGGUACAGAGUAUCGUAAACCUCUUUUGUCAGGGAACAAAGGCGGGGACGUGUCCCCGGAUGAGUGUACCUGAAGAAAAAGCAUCGGCAAACUCCGUGCCAGCAGCCGCGGUAAUACGGAGGAUGCGAGCGUUAUCCGGAUUUAUUGGGUUUAAGGGGUGCGCAGGCGGUCUGUUAAGUCAGCGGUCAAAGCCCGGGGCUCAACCCCGGCCCGCCGUUGAAACUGGCAGUCGCGAGUUGGAGAGAAGUAUGCGGAAUGCGCGGUGUAGCGGUGAAAUGCAUAGAUAUCGCGCAGAACUCCGAUUGCGAAGGCAGCAUGCCGGCUCCACACUGACGCUGAGGCACGAAAGCGUGGGUAUCGAACAGGAUUAGAUACCCCUGUAGUC
rnacentral:rRNA from 1 species